GGUGACGAGCGGCGGACGGGUGAGUAAUGUCUGGGAAACUGCCUGAUGGAGGGGGAUAACUACUGGAAACGGUAGCUAAUACCGCAUAAUGUCGCAAGACCAAAGUGGGGGACCUUCGGGCCUCAUGCCAUCAGAUGUGCCCAGAUGGGAUUAGCUAGUAGGUGGGGUAACGGCUCACCUAGGCGACGAUCCCUAGCUGGUCUGAGAGGAUGACCAGCCACACUGGAACUGAGACACGGUCCAGACUCCUACGGGAGGCAGCAGUGGGGAAUAUUGCACAAUGGGCGCAAGCCUGAUGCAGCCAUGCCGCGUGUGUGAAGAAGGCCUUCGGGUUGUAAAGCACUUUCAGCGGGGAGGAAGGCGUUAAGGUUAAUAACCUUGGCGAUUGACGUUACCCGCAGAAGAAGCACCGGCUAACUCCGUGCCAGCAGCCGCGGUAAUACGGAGGGUGCAAGCGUUAAUCGGAAUUACUGGGCGUAAAGCGCACGCAGGCGGUCUGUCAAGUCGGAUGUGAAAUCCCCGGGCUCAACCUGGGAACUGCAUUCGAAACUGGCAGGCUAGAGUCUUGUAGAGGGGGGUAGAAUUCCAGGUGUAGCGGUGAAAUGCGUAGAGAUCUGGAGGAAUACCGGUGGCGAAGGCGGCCCCCUGGACAAAGACUGACGCUCAGGUGCGAAAGCGUGGGGAGCAAACAGGAUUAGAUACCCUGGUAGUCCACGCCGUAAACGAUGUCGAUUUGGAGGUUGUGCCCUUGAGGCGUGGCUUCCGGAGCUAACGCGUUAAAUCGACCGCCUGGGGAGUACGGCCGCAAGGUUAAAACUCAAAUGAAUUGACGGGGGCCCGCACAAGCGGUGGAGCAUGUGGUUUAAUUCGAUGCAACGCGAAGAACCUUACCUGGUCUUGACAUCCACAGAACUUUCCAGAGAUGGAUUGGUGCCUUCGGGAACUGUGAGACAGGUGCUGCAUGGCUGUCGUCAGCUCGUGUUGUGAAAUGUUGGGUUAAGUCCCGCAACGAGCGCAACCCUUAUCCUUUG
rnacentral:rRNA from 1 species